UGGGGAAUAUUGCGCAAUGGGCGAAAGCCUGACGCAGCAACGCCGCGUGAGUGAUGAAGGCCUUCGGGUCGUAAAGCUCUGUCGGAGGGAACGAAUGCUCUUGAGGUUAACAGCCUCGGGAGGUGACGGUACCCUCAAAGGAAGCACCGGCUAACUCUGUGCCAGCAGCCGCGGUAAUACAGAGGGUGCAAGCGUUGUUCGGAUUUACUGGGCGUAAAGGGCGCGUAGGCGGCAUGACAAGUCACUUGUGAAAUCUCUGGGCUUAACCCAGAACGGCCAAGUGAUACUGUCGCGCUAGAGUGCAGAAGGGGCAAUCGGAAUUCUUGGUGUAGCGGUGAAAUGCGUAGAUAUCAAGAGGAACACCUGAGGUGAAGACGGGUUGCUGGGCUGACACUGACGCUGAGGCGCGAAAGCCAGGGGAGCAAACGGGAUUAGAUACCCAAGUAGUCCCUGAGCGGGCUGGCAAGGCGCAU
rnacentral:rRNA from 1 species